UGGUACCAGGUAGCAGAAAAGCCAGAAGGCCAGAGGUGCACGUCGCGGGGAGGGGGGAAUUGGGCCUUGAAAGACACCCAUGCGGCUAAGCAGACCUCACUGCGGCGUGGGCGGGGCCUGGGAUAGCUUCAAACUGCUUCCUCUCACCUAUCAGGUCCAGCUUAGAGAGCCUCCCUCCCAAUUUAGAUGUCCGGAUUAUUCUCUUUUCUACUUGGUUUGGAUAGAAUUUCCAGUACUGUAAAGAAUAGGAGGGAUUAGCACAGCAUCCUCAUCUUCUUCCAGAUCUUAAACACUUUCAAAUUUCCCUGUUCUUUAUAGUGUUAGCAAUGUUAUGGCAUUACAACUUAAGUCCAUGGUACAUUUACUUUUUUUUUUGGUGGUGAAAAUAAUGCGUAUUUAGAAUUAGCCAGCUGGACUCAGUUUAGAUGAUCCCAGUUUUGUUGGCAACAUCCAAAGCAUCAUAAUCAGGAGCCAGUUGAACAUACACCUUCUCUCCAUCAGGCCCGAUUGACCUUGGCCACAUCAAUGUCCUAGAGCUUCUCCACAGCUUGUUUGGUCUGGUGCUUGUUGGCCUUGACAUCUACAAUCAAUAGGAGUGUGUUGUUGUCCUCUAUCUUCUUCAUGGCUCACUCUUUUGUCAGGGGGAACUUGAUGAUGGCAUAGUGGUCAAGCUUGUUUCUCCUGGGGGUGCUUUUCUGGAGGUAUUUUGGCUGCUGCCAGAGCCACAGUGUCUUGGGAUGGCGGAAGGUGGGUGACGUGCGGCUUUUCUUCUUUUUGUGGCUGUGGAUGCCUUUCAGCACUGCUUUCUUGGCUUUCAAAGCUGUUGCUUUUGCUUCAGCUUUGGGAGGGGCAGGAGCUUCCUUCUUUGCCUUCGGUGCCAUCUUGGUAAAAAGGGCCAUGGUGCAUUUAAAAAUCUAAAUAAAUUUGUUAAAACCACUAAAUAUUCCAUAAAUGACAAUUCUUAACUUCUGUUUCAAUCACAAACCCACUAAGACCUUUGUAUAAAAACAUCAUGAAGCCAAGGGUUGUAGUAACUGCCCGUUGUCUUAUAACAACUGAACACAGUUGUAUCCCUUGAAGAGAGAGAAGCAAUUUUCUAAAGAUACGAGGGCAUCUAUGUGUCCUGUCAAAGUCAAUGCUUUGGAGUUCCAAGGAUUCUAGCAAAAUCAGACACUUCAGACUUUGGAAAAAAUUGUAACUCAAGAUUGGGCAAAAGUGCUUAGGGAGUUAAAAUUCUAGAAACCAAGAGAUCUCAUGAAGAAGUAGUAAAGAGUCAAUUCAGUUGAUUUCUCAUAUGUUCUCUUGGGAAUAUAUUGUGAGUAGCAAAUUUUAUUCUUACUGCCCAGAUCAGUGUUCCAUAGGGAAAUCAGUUGCUCAGCAGUUGAAGUAACAAUUGGAGAUGUACCAAAUUAGCAGACAUAGGGGCUAUAAAUACAUCCCCUGUACCUUCAGAGGGUACAGUCUUAGGUUGUAUAGGGAAGAUUUGUUAAUUUUGGAGCCCUAAUCCUGGAUAGGGGACUGAUGUUUCACUUUCUCCUUCCACCUUCUCUAGGGCAGAGCUUCAGUCUAAACCAUCCAAAGAGAAACUCAUACUUUUAUACAUGGGCCUUCUUCCCACACACUUUACAAGAGAACUUAGAAUUCCACAUGGCUGACUACAGGAGGAGUCACAUCGAAGAAGCAUGGAAAGGAUCCACUGUCAAAGAAGUUUUGUCUGACAACCACUUGAAUUCACCAAAGGACAGAAAUUGGAAAUCCAGGAUCACAAAGCCAAAUGCUUUUACAGCACCAUCCUAGGGAUAUUUGGUGUGGGAUGAUGGUGUCACACAGAAAUUUCACAGCCUCUGGGAUGAGCUGACUAUGACCAUUUUGUGAUCUAAGUCCAUCAGAAAAGAAUUGCCAUUUGGAACUGUGCUCCUAGCCAAGUGAAUCAGGGGACUUUAGCCCACCUGAGAACAUCGAUACAGUCCUGCUGUCCUCUGUUCUGUGAGAGUUGGUCACUCUCUUGACCAACUGAUGAU